GUACGGCGAGUGAAGCGGCAAAAGCUCAAAUUUGAAAUCCCCCGGGAAUUGUAAUUUGAAGAGAUUUGGGUCCGGCCGGCAGGGGUUAAGUCCACUGGAAAGUGGCGCCACAGAGGGUGACAGCCCCGUGAACCCCUUUAACGCCCUCAUCCCAGAUCUCCAAGAGUCGAGUUGUUUGGGAAUGCAGCUCUAAGUGGGUGGUAAAUUCCAUCUAAAGCUAAAUACCGGCGAGAGACCGAUAGCGAACAAGUACAGUGAUGGAAAGAUGAAAAGCACUUUGAAAAGAGAGUGAAAAAGUACGUGAAAUUGUUGAAAGGGAAGGGCUUGCAAGCAGACACUUAACUGGGCCAGCAUCGGGGCGGCGGGAAACAAAACCACCGGGGAAUGUACCUUUCGAGGAUUAUAACCCCGGUCUCUAUUUCCAUGUUGCCCCGAGGCCUGCAAUCUAAGGAUGCUGGCGUAAUGGUUGCAAGUCGCCCGUCUUA
rnacentral:rRNA from 1 species